AAGAAGUAAGGGCAAAGUAAGGGAAACUUUAUGACGCAAAACUAUAGGGCCUAUUAAUGUGGCAGCCAGGUGCAACA
rnacentral:ncRNA from 1 species